rnacentral:misc_RNA from 1 species
GAUGAAGAACGCAGCGAAAUGCGAUAAGUAAUGUGAAUUGCAGAAUUCAGUGAAUCAUCGAAUCUUUGAACGCACAUUGCGCCCGCCAGUAUUCUGGCGGGCAUGCCUGUCUGAGCGUCAUUUCAACCCUCAUGCCCCUAGGGCGUGGUGUUGGGGAUCGGCCAAAGCCCGCGAGGGACGGCCGGCCCCUAAAUCUAGUGGCGGACCCGUCGUGGCCUCCUCUGCGAAGUAGUGAUAUUCCGCAUCGGAGAGCGAUGAGCCCCUGCCGUUAAACCCCCAACUUUCCAAGGUUGACCUCAGAUCAGGUAGGAAUACCCGCCGAACUUAAGCAUAUCAAUAAGCGGAGGA